GUAUUUAGGUUAGCGAGUUCCCCUCUUCACAAGGGUAGCUCAAUUAUCGCAGCGUUUCCGUGGAAAUAGCGAUAAGUGGCACAUUAUACGAUGACUCAAUCGUGAAUCUUUGUCAACGUGUUCGACAACGGAACAGGACCAUAACGGGCAAACGAGGACGCUCGUUGUACCAUAAAAAGAGUGGAGCUCCAACCGGAAACGCAGACCAUCAUCACAUACGAAAACACCUGUUACUGAUUAGGGCAUUACGGUUGCUGGUGUUACCACCUGUACAGCAUACGUUUGCGCAGAUUGCUACCAACACUUACGUUCGCCUGAUAAAUUUUCACGGAAUCUACGGGUUUGGUACACUCCUGCAUUUCUAUCUUUGAGACUGCCAUGGGAAUGAAUCUUGCUUCCAUCCUUCUGCUGAGCUUCUUGACAACAGUUAUUGUAGCCCUGGCAACAGCGAAUGAGUCCAACCUGCUGGUAUCCCAGAACGACAUACCGAAACACGCUUGUUCAUUCCGUGGUGGGAAAUGCAACCGUUCUGUCGCCUGCUGCGAAGGGGCCUGUCGAUGCUUCUAUCGUUGGCUUACCUGGAGUUAUACGUGCCAGUGCCUGCUGCGGACACCUUUCGGAGUUCCCAUCUCGAGGUUGCCACCUGGUAGUAGGAUCGAGUGACAAGAAGCGACAGGACACGGCAAAGUGAGGCAGUCCACCUGCUACAGGUCUCUCAUAGCAAUCAUUGCUGCAGCUGAACAUGCUACAGUUUGUACCUUUGAGUAUGAUUCCUCUUGCGUGACUCUAAAAUGGUGAUCUUCGAUGAGUGGACGACAAACAGGAAUGGUCCUUUCGGCAUCUGACGCAUCUGACGGGUGUCCCAACCUGGAGGGUUGUCCUCAGCACAACUCCCAGCCACGCACAACGACAUCCAUGUAUACUACAGACUUCCAUGUAACCUAGGAAAAAUGAAAAGUGUGUCGGCCACGUAAUUCGAAACCAGAUAUCUCUGAUUCCUGGUCAAGGGUGCACGGACACAUCGCUGUGACUUUUACGUGAUCUUAGGCGUCUUGAGACACUAUGUAUAUCCUGCUCCUAUAGGUGAUCCUUGCAUCAACGGUUUAUUUGUUCUUUCCUGUACGCUGUAUUAUUGUCUGUCCGUGUUGUAGCAUAUGUAUUAAGGAAAGUCAAACCGUGUAAUAUCGAGCGCUGUAUUAUCGGGAAAUGUACAUGGCCGUCGAAUACAAUUUAUAGUUCUCCACCAUU